GAAAUGCGAUACUUGGUGUGAAUUGCAGAAUCCCGUGAACCAUCGAGUCUUUGAACGCAAGUUGCGCCCCAAGCCUCUAGGCCGAGGGCACGUCUGCCUGGGUGUCACGCAUCGUCGCCCCCUCAACCCCACGCCUCGAGCGAGGCGCGGGGACACGUUAGGGGCGGAUAUUGGCCUCCCGUGCGACGCUUAAUCCCGCGGUUGGCCCAAAUACGAGUCCUCGGCGUCGGACGCCGCGACGUUCGGUGGUGGAAAAAGUAAGAAACCUCGAGCUCGCGUCGCGCGUACGUCGUCGGUUUAAGGCUCCCGACCCUGAACGCAUCGCGACCCCAGGUCAGGCGGGAUUACCCGCUGAGUUUAA
rnacentral:rRNA from 1 species